AUUGAACGCUGGCGGCAGGCCUAACACAUGCAAGUCGAGCGAGCGGCGGACGGGUGAGUAAUGUAUGGGGACUGCCCGAUAGAGGGGGAUAACUACUGGAAACGGUGACUAAUAACGCAUACUGUCGGAGAAACCAUAUGGGACUAGCUAGUAGGUAAGGUAAUGGCUUACGUAGGCGACGAUCCCUAGCGGGUCUGAGAGGAUGAUCAGCCAAACCGGGACGGAGAGACGGCCCAGACGGCUACGGAGGCAGCAGUGGGGAAGAUGGCACAAUGGGCGCAAGCCUGAUGCAGCCAUGCCGUGUGGAUGAAGAAGGCCCUAGGGUGGUAAACUGCUUUGUAUGGGGACAAGGUACCAUCCGAAUAAGGACCGGCUAAGUCCGUGCCAGCAGCCGCGGUAAUUC
rnacentral:rRNA from 1 species